GUUGGAUCCUGUAUUUUACAUUAUAGCCAUUACCAUAUAUAUGAUUGAAUAUUAUCUGCUGUUGGCUUAUGUGGAUGUAUGUAUGUGUUAUGCAACAUAGCUGACUUGAAACAUUGUUAAAAGUAUCAGGGCCAUGGGACUUUCUCAUGAUGGAAAAAUACAGAGAAGCAUGAAGACAGGAACUGUUCAAAUUAGUUGGGAGGGGGGCACAUUCAGAGCGGGGUGUUGCGAGAACAAGCGGUCUUUUGUUAGAUAACAGGAGCCAGGUGCGAGAUAACUGUAUGGAGCAUGAGAGCCUGGAUGUUCUUCACAAGCAAGUUACAUCUAUCAACAGAAGCGCCAAGAGGCGGGGACCCGCCUGAGCGCCUGCAAUAGGCUGAGCAAGUUUAAACCACGCCCAGUCUCUACUGUGAUAGGCCAACAGACGGGUUGGAACUGUCUAUCACAGUAUAAAGAAUACUGUUUUACCCUGUUCUGCCCUGCGUGGUAUUACAGUGAGCCCGUAUAUACGAAAGUUGCAUUUGCCAUUUAUUACUUAGCUAAUAAAAAAUACAUAGUAUAAAAUCGGUGACUCAUUGAUAUAUUUAUCCUGAUACCAGAUUCGAAUUUACGCAACCCUAACAAUUUGGUGACCCCGACGUGAUCUGGUAGUAGGACGACGCUGCCGAUUGGCCAGUACUGUCGUCGGACAGUGUGUCUCACAAAUCCUGACCGGUCAACUAAAAGAGUGAACUACAGGUGAAGUCACUCAAUCCAGUCCCAGAGGCUUGUUGGGGGGACCAUACCAAGGACUCCUGGUGACAGCUAGCUGAAAGAACUACCCGGAUUCAUAUCACACGGCGGGAGGGUAAGACACAAUGACACUAUCGAACAAUAAACAGUGUUCGAAAGGAGAACUGGAAUUAACAGAAUUCCGGGGGCCAUCUCUCGAAUGAAGUAACCCUCCCUGUCCUGUCACCCCUGUUUUUGUUCAUAGAAGUGAAGAUGUGUCUGGCUCUUGCUAAGUGAUGUGUUCUCGGGGAAAGGGUGGGGCUUCACAUGGAAGCUGUUCGUCUGAGCUGUCUUAUCGUGGGUGACAUAUUCCUGAUACAGCAUGUCCUACUUGAGUAUGCGGAGAGUGGUAAUUUGACCCAUGGUUUAGACGAUGAGGAUUUUGUUCCAAAAUAAGCAUAAGAGAUCCCUAGAUCUGGGUAGACAGGAAGUUAGAGUAGAGGUUGGGAAGGAUCUCUCAAUGGAGUUUUAUGUAGACCAAAAUGGAGUCUCUAACUACAUGGCAGUCUAGGACACUGAGCCAUUAUGGCAUAUAUCGGUGCAGGUUCCCAUAUUGAUCGUGGACACAGGUCAUAGCUCAUUUGGAGAGAGAAGGCUAUAUGAAUCCACUCACCCAGUAUGGAAGGACAAAGUAUACAUUGAUAACAUUGGGGUUCCACGGACAUGGACUGGAUUAAUUAUAUUUAUUAUAAUCAACAGCGCUUUAACAAUUAUACCAGAGAUGCUAUUAAAGGUUUUGCAGAACAGACUGAAGCAACCAGCCUGGUGGCUUGGCAGAAUAGAAUUGCAUUAGAUAUGUUAUUGGCUGAAAAGGGAGAAGUAUGUGUGAUUAUCGGGACCAUGUUUGCUUACAUCCCAAAUAGCACAGCUCCGGACGAUUCAGUGCCCGAAGCCUCAGCUGGUUUGACCACCCUGGCUCACGGUUUGGCAGAAAACUCUGGGGUGGAUACUUCUCUGACUAAUAUAAUUUGAUAGCAUGUUCGGAAAAUGGAAAAAAUAUUAUGAUCACUGUAUUAUGGGCUACAUUCACCUGUGUGACUGUUUUAGUUUUAUGGGGCUAAUUCCCUGUGUAUGAGGCCUUAUUUCCAGGACUCUGGAGAAAUCGAUGGGAAUAGAUGGUGAUGUACCAGCGGAUUCCAGGUUCUGAACCGUGGAGUGCUGAAUGUAUGUCUACAGAACAAGUGGACGAAAAGGACCGGGACAGACACGAUGGGUGUGUUUUCUAUUAAGGUGCUGCCAAAACCAGAGGUCCCAGAUGAAACAUUCCAUCCCAUUGGAGACAUAGACGUAGUGCUCCAUGGACAGAUGAUGUAGUUGACAUACACACUAACCUGUUGGGAGUGCCAGUGGGGGUUCCUCAUGAGUUUCAGGCCCUGGGUAGGAAUGAUGGACUCUGGCACUUACUACCUAUUAUAGGUCCAGCCAUAGUGGAUGCUAGACAGACUGCAUGGAUUAAUUAUAUCUACUAUAAUCAACAGCGUUUUGUGAAUUACUCCCGUGAUGCACUCACUGGUAUGUCUGAACAGCUUGAGGCCACAUCUAGGGUUGCCAGACAGAAUAUACUUGCUUUGGAUAUGCUUCUUGCCAGUCAGGGGGGCGUCUGCAAGAUGUUCGGUGAACAAUGUUGCACGUAUAUUCCUAAUAACACCACUCCAGAUGGUAGUAUAUCUAAGGCCCUUAAUGGGCUUGAUGCACUAUCUGCUGAGAUGAGGACCAUGGCGGGGGUGGAGGAGUCGGGACUGUUCUCUUGGUUGGGAGCCUGGUUUGGUAAGUACACUGGUAUGGUGGUUACUGGAUUUCUGACCCUAAUUCUUGUAUUUUUGUUAUUGCUUAUGUGUUGUGCUGCUUGCAUCAUACCGUGUUUUAAGAAGUCUGUUACAGAUAUGGUGAAGGCUUCAGGCAUGAUGAUGCCUUUGCUUGAUGCUCCAGUUGGAGAUGCUGAUACUGAAUCAUGCUUUCAGGGGAGGAUGAGACUGACUGAGGAUGACCCAUGGUAUGCUGUGGGUGAGGUAGUAGAAUCAAUUUUACACCACCACAGUUCCUUGUUAUACAUUUUUUAUGAUAGGUUUUCUUUCCAGUAUGUUUGUUCUCCCUGUUGUGAAGGUUUCGAGUCCCUGGGUGGCAUGGUGCCCACCUGGUACAGGAUAGGAGUAGCUGAGAGGACCAGAUGGUUUAUAAUAAUGCUUUGCUCUGUUUUCCAUGAUAAAACCAAAGUUUUAUCAUGUCAAUAAACAAUAAAGUCUUAUCCUGUUUUUGUCAACAGGGGGAGACAUAAGCAUAUAUCACUUGAUUUUUAUUUUUUCUUGGUUGAUUUUUAUUUUCUGUUUUUCUGUAAAAAAUAAAUAAAAAUAAAAAUAAUAAUAAUUAUGUUUUAUUAAUAAUAAACUUUUUGUUAUUUUAAUGAAAUGCUAUUAACACAUUACUAUGUUGGGACUGAUGAAAUAAGGGUAAUGAGUGACACCCUGGCGGGUGUCAACAGGGGGAUUGUUGGAUAGCCAUUAUAGCUAUUACCAUAUAUAUGAUUGAAUAUUAUCUGCUGUUGGCUUAUGUGGAUGUAUGUAUGUGUUAUGCAACAUAGCUGACUUGAAACAUUGUUAAAAGUAUCAGGGCCAUGGGACUUUCUCAUGAUGGAAAAAUACAGAGAAGCAUGAAGACAGGAACUGUUCAAAUUAGUUGGGAGGGGGGCACAUUCAGAGCGGGGUGUUGCGAGAACAAGCGGUCUUUUGUUAGAUAACAGGAGCCAGGUGCGAGAUAACUGUAUGGAGCAUGAGAGCCUGGAUGUUCUUCACAAGCAAGUUACAUCUAUCAACAGAAGCGCCAAGAGGCGGGGACCCGCCUGAGCGCCUGCAAUAGGCUGAGCAAGUUUAAACCACGCCCAGUCUCUACUGUGAUAGGCCAACAGACGGGUUGGAACUGUCUAUCACAGUAUAAAGAAUACUGUUUUACCCUGUUCUGCCCUGCGUGGUAUUACAGUGAGCCCGUAUAUACGAAAGUUGCAUUUGCCAUUUAUUACUUAGCUAAUAAAAAAUACAUAGUAUAAAA